rnacentral:rRNA from 1 species
GACAGAGGUCCCGAGCGUUAGGCGGAAUCACUGGGCUUAAAGCGUGCGUAGGCGGAUGCCUAAGUACCUUGUGAAAUCCCACGGCUCACCCGUGGAACUGCUCGGUAUACUGGGUGUCUUGAGCCACUUAGGGGCUACCGGAACAAAUGGUGGAGCGGUGAAAUGCGUAGAUAUCAUUUGGAACGCCAAUGGUGAAACCAGGUAGCUGGGAGUGUGCUGACGCUGAGACACGAAAGCCAGGGGAGCAAACCGG